UACGGAGGGUGCAAGCGGUUAUCCGGAUUUACUGGGUUUAAAGGGUGCGUAGGUGGAUAAGUAAGUCAGUGGUGAAAUCUUCGGGCUUAACCCGGAAACUGCCAUUGAUACUAUUUGUCUUGAAUACUUUGGAGGUAAGCGGAAUAUGUCAUGUAGCGGUGAAAUGCUUAGAUAUGACACAGAACACCGAUUGCGAAGGCAGCUCACUAAACUGUAACUGACGCUGAGGCACGAAAGCGUGGGGAGCAAACAGG
rnacentral:rRNA from 1 species